UAACCUACGGGGGGCAGCAGUAGGGAAUAUUGCUCAAUGGGGGAAACCCUGAACCAGCCAAGUCGCGUGAGGGAAGAAGGCCCUGCGGGUCGCAGACCUCUUUGGACGGGGAGCAAGGCCGCCGACGUGUCGGCGGAAGGAGAGUACCCGUAGAACAAGCAUCGGCUAACUCCGUGCCAGCAGCCGCGGUAAUACGGAGGAUGCGAGCGUUAUCCGGAUUUAUUGGGUUUAAAGGGUGCGCAGGCGGCACGGCAAGCCGGCGGUCAAAUCGCGGGGCGCAACCCCGCCCAGCCGUCGGAACUGCC
rnacentral:rRNA from 1 species